ACAGACCAUUUGGAGAUGUUCCUCAUGUCCUCUUUUAGUUUUAAUCCAUUGUUCUUUUGAGUUUUUCUACUGAAUCUACAUUCCCCACCUUUUCAUGCAGCACAUUCCAGUCACAACUCACCAUGUUUUAAAAAAACAGUAUAAUCACUUCCUUUUCAUCUUUUGCUGGUCACUUCAAAUCUGUAUCUUCAGAUUACCAACCUUUCCACCAGCAAAAACAGUCUAGGAUUGGACUAUUGAGUCUCUUGAGCCUCUUCCUGAACUUCUGUUAAAACGAUCAUGACUUUGAACUCUGUCAGUCUCAUCCUAGCUCUUUCUCUGUUCUAAGAAGUACAACUCUUCUGCAGUCUUUCCACAUUUGUUAAACCUGUUAUUAAUAAAAAUGCAAGUUGUUGUUAUGUUGUUACGUUUCCUGAUAACAGGAAACCUUGCAUUAAAAACUCCACUUCGUAACAAGUCAAUAGUUCUAUCAGAGUCUGCAGUUUGAAGCUCUCUGACGAGACUCCCAGACAAGACAAGUCAAACAUCUGGCACAGAAAGCAGAUCAUAAACAGACUAACUCAGGCACCACAGCUCAGGACUGCAAGGAUUCAAAGGCUGUCGUCAAGGAGCCUGUAGCACCCACGGCUGCCAAUGCAUCCUUAUAAACCUGUCAACACGCGAUAGGGUGUAUAUGUAUGAGGAAAUGACCAAUACCAUUAUAUGAAUUUAUGUGAAGACAACACUAACAGAUUGCAAGUGAAAAAAAUAAUGCAUGGUGCAGUUAAUGUGCAAGGGAAAUGAGCAGACUGUAUAGAUUCCCCUUUGCAAUGAAAAAUAAAUACUUGUGUCGGUUACCUGUUAGCAGUAGAUUUGCUCUCAUGCUCUGAGCUCAUAUAUCAAUUUUUAGUGGAAAGUGAUUUUUUUAAAAAGUUGAUAAGAUAAAUAUAC